rnacentral:rRNA from 1 species
CGAAGGCGGUUCUCUGGACCUUUCCUGACGCUGAGAAGCGAAAGCGUGGGGAGCGAACAGGCUUAGAUACCCUGGUAGUCCACGCUGUAAACGGUGGGUACUAGGUGUGGGGGACAUUCCACGUUCUCCGUGCCGUAGCUAACGCAUUAAGUACCCCGCCUGGGGAGUACGGCCGCAAGGCUAAAACUCAAAGGAAUUGACGGGGCCCCGCACAAGCGGCGGAGCAUGCGGAUUAAUUCGAUGCAACGCGAAGAACCUUACCUGGGUUUGACAUAUGCCGGAAGCGUUCAGAGAUGGGCGUGCCUUUUUGGUCGGUUUACAGGUGGUGCAUGGCUGUCGUCAGCUCGUGUCGUGAGAUGUUGGGUUAAGUCCCGCAACGAGCGCAACCCUCGUCCAAUGUUGCCAGCGGGUUAUGCCGGGGACUCAUUGGAGACCGCCGGGGUCAACUCGGAGGAAGGUGGGGAUGACGUCAAGUCAUCAUGCCCCUUAUGUCCAGGGCUUCACGCAUGCUACAAUGGCCGGUACAGUGAGCUGCGAGCCUGUGAGGGUGAGCGAAUCUCUAAAAGCCGGUCUCAGUUCGGAUUGGGGUCUGCAACUCGACCCCAUGAAGUCGGAGUCGCUAGUAAUCGCAGAUCAGCAACGCUGCGGUGAAUACGUUCCCGGGGCUUGUACACACCGCCCGUCAAGUCAUGAAAGUCGGUAACACCCGAAGCCGGUGGCCUAACCCGUUUGGGAGGGAGCUGUCGAAGGUGGGACUGGUGAUUAGGACUAAGUCGUAACAAGGUAGCCGUACCGGAAGGUGCGGCUG